AAUAGAUACCCUGGUAGUCCAUGCCGUAAACGUUGGGAACUGGGUGUGGGUCUCAUUCCGACGAGAUCCGUGCCGCAGCUAACGCAUUAAGUUCCCCGCCUGGGGAGUACGGCCGCAAGGCUAAAACUCAAAGGAAUUGACGGGGGCCCGCACAAGCGGCGGAGCAUGCGGAUUAAUUCGAUGCAACGCGAAGAACCUUACCAAGGCUUGACAUGUACCGGAAACGUGCAGAGAUGUGCGCCCCGCAAGGUCGGUACACAGGUGGUGCAUGGUUGUCGUCAGCUCGUGUCGUGAGAUGUUGGGUUAAGUCCCGCAACGAGCGCAACCCUCGUUCUAUGUUGCCAGCACGUGAUGGUGGGGACUCAUAGGAGACUGCCGGGGUCAACUCGGAGGAAGGUGGGGAUGACGUCAAAUCAUCAUGCCCCUUAUGUCUUGGGCUUCACGCAUGCUACAAUGGCCAGUACAAGGGCUGCGAAACCGUGAGGUGGAGCGAAUCCCAAAAAACUGGUCUCAGUUCGGAUUGGGGU
rnacentral:rRNA from 1 species